GACGGAAGGUGCAAGCGUUGCUCGGAAUUAUUGGGCGUAAAGCGCACGUAGGCGGCUUGGCAAGUCGGAUGUGAAAUCCCUCGGCUCAACCAAGGAAGUGCAUCCGAAACUGCUGAGCUUGAGUACGAAAGAGGAUCGCGGAAUUCCUGGUGUAGCGGUGAAAUGCGCAGAUAUCAGGAAGAACACCAAUGGCGAAAGCAGCUCUCUGGGACGGUACUGACGCUGAGACGCGAAAGCGUGGGGAGCGAACAGG
rnacentral:rRNA from 1 species